rnacentral:rRNA from 2 species
UACACAUGCAAGUCGAACGGUAGCACAAGGAGCUUGCUCCUUGGGUGACGAGUGGCGGACGGGUGAGUAAUGUCUGGGAAACUGCCCGAUGGAGGGGGAUAACUACUGGAAACGGUAGCUAAAUACCGCAUAACGUCGCAAGACCAAAGAGGGGGACCUUCGGGCCUCUUGCCAUCGGAUGUGCCCAGAUGGGAUUAGCUAGUAGGUGGGGUAACGGCUCACCUAGGCGACGAUCCCUAGCUGGUCUGAGAGGAUGACCAGCCACACUGGAACUGAGACACGGUCCAGACUCCUACGGGAGGCAGCAGUGGGGAAUAUUGCACAAUGGGCGCAAGCCUGAUGCAGCCAUGCCGCGUGUAUGAAGAAGGCCUUCGGGUUGUAAAGUACUUUCAGCGAGGAGGAAGGUGUUGUGGUUAAUAACCCAGCAAUUGACGUUACUCGCAGAAGAAGCACCGGCUAACUCGUGCCAGCAGCCGCGGUAAUACGGAGGGUGCAAGCGUUAAUCGGAAUUACUGGGCGUAAAGCGCAGCAGGCGGUCUGUCAAGUCGGAUGUGAAAUCCCCGGGCUCAACCUGGGAACUGCAUCCGAAACUGGCAGGCUAGAGUCUUGUAGAGGGGGGUAGAAUUCCAGGUGUAGCGGUGAAAUGCGUAGAGAUCUGGAGGAAUCCGGUGCGAAGGCGGCCCCCGGACAAAGACUGACGUCAGGUGCGAAAGCGUGGGGAGCAAACAGGAUUAGAUCC